UCUCUUCCUAAACAUCAUUAUUCCUGGUCCUUAAGCUCCUUCACAACCAAUAAAAUCAUCUUUCAAAAUCGUUCAAUUAAUCCCUAAUUGUUGGAUUAACCUUUGUUUUGACAAUAACUCAGGAAAGUGUUAUCAUAAUGAACUCGAUUGUUCGCCAAUGCUUGAAUCCAAGGACUAUUAAAGGUCUACAAAUGAUGCAAAAAAGAGGCUACUCGUAUCCAUAUGAUAAUAAGUUUCUAGUCACUCCACCGCGAACACCAAUAUCGGUAGCUGAAAGAAUAGCUUGGUUUACCCUGCUCUUCACCUCUAUAACCUCUGUCCCUGCUUGGAUUCUUUACCAUCUUCGUCUUUAUCGAGGCCAAACCUACGAUGACUGGAUCAACUAUCAAAACAGAUGGGUCAAAAGUGGAUAAUUGACAAACAUUGCGAGCUAUCGGGAUACCUGACUUGUACCUAAACAUCAGCAAUUCCAGUUAAUUAAGAUCAUGUGCUGCUUUCGAUGCAAUUAAAAUCAAAAGUGCCAGAAAUAUAAAUACAAUUAAAUUAAAUAAAUUAAAGAAUAAUAUUGGGAAAAUUAACCAGAA